UACGUAGGGAGCAAGCGUUGUCCGGAAUCAUUGGGCGUAAAGCGCGUGUAGGCGGUGCGGUAAGUCGGUUGUGAAAGUCCAGGGCUCAACCCUGGGAUGCCGAUCGAUACUGCCGGACUAGAGUCCGGAAGAGGCGAGUGGAAUUCCCGGUGUAGCGGUGAAAUGCGCAGAUAUCGGGAGGAACACCAAUGGCGAAGGCAGCUCGCUGGGACGGUACUGACGCUGAGACGCGAAAGCGUGGGGAGCAAACAGG
rnacentral:rRNA from 1 species